UUCAACGGCCGCGAUUAUACGUGCAAAGGUAGCAUAAUCAAUUGUCCUUUAAUUGUGGACUAGAAUGAAUGGAUAAAUAAAAAUUAAACUCUUCAAUUUUUAUAAAUAAAAAUUUACCUUUAGAUGAAAAGGUCUAAAUAAAAAUAAAAGACCAGAAGACCCUAUAGAGCUUUUUCUUAAAAUAAUAAUAAUUUUAUUAAAUAUAAGAUUUGGUUGGGGCAACCUGGGAUAAACUUCCCAUAAAUAAAAAGAAAAAUAAAUUAAUUCUUUCAUAAUUUAAUUAUAAGCUACCUUAGGGAUAACAGGCUAAUCUUAUUUUAUAGUUCACAUACACAAUAAGGUUUAGCACCUCGAUGUUGGCUUGAGAUAACUUUU
rnacentral:rRNA from 1 species